UACGGGGGGGGCAAGCGUUGUUCGGAAUUACUGGGCGUAAAGGGCUGGUAGGCGGCCAACUAAGUCGGAUGUGAAAUCCCCAGGCUUAACCUGGGAACUGCAUCCGAUACUGGUCGGCUUGAAUCCGGGAGAGGGAUGCAGAAUUCCAGGUGUAGCGGUGAAAUGCGUAGAUAUCUGGAGGAAUACCGGUGGCGAAAGCGCUCUGCUGGACCUGCACUGACACUGAGGGACGAAAGCUAGGGGAGCGAAAGGG
rnacentral:rRNA from 1 species